AUUCUACUCCCUCCGUUGCACAAUACAUGCCUUCUAUUUGUCAAAAUAUAUAUGUAUCUAGACAUGUCUUAGUAUAUAGGUACAUCCAUUUUUGGACAAAUGGAAGUCAAGUAUUUUGGAAUGGAGGGAGUACGGA
rnacentral:pre_miRNA from 1 species